rnacentral:misc_RNA from 4 species
AACGCACCUUGCGCUCCUUGGUAUUCCGAGGAGCAUGCCUGUUUGAGUGUCAGUUAAUUCAUCAACCCCUCUCGAUUAGCUUCGAGGGGGAGCUUGGAUAGUGGGGGUUGCUGGAGACUUGGGACUAGUUCCAGGACUCGGGCUCUCCUGAAAUGCAUCGGCUUGCGGUCGACUUUCGACUUUGCGCGAAAAGGCUUUCGGCGUGAUAAUGAUCGCCGUGUGCUGAAGUGCAUGAAUGAUGGUUCCGUGCCUCUAAUACGCAUCGACCUUUUACUAGGUCUUUGAAAUUUGACAUUUUGACCUCAAAUCAGGUAGGACUACCCGCUGAACUUAA